rnacentral:lncRNA from 1 species
AAACAACACUUUCUUAAAUGUGGGAUUUAUCCUUGUUGUAUGAGGAAAUGGAGGAUUUACAUUUUUGAAUUAGCAGUGCUUACCCCAUAUUCACAAUAAUAAUAAGAUGUAAUUAGAAGUAAUGUUGCUUGGGAUUAGAUCAGAUGGCUUUAUUCUUCCUUACACUGUAUUGUCUUGGGAAGUUAGAGAUCACAGUCUUCUUUGACAAGUGGUAAGCUUUUCCUUCUCAUUUACCAGAUCCCAGUUUUCCAUUCGUCUGAA